AGCUGCUGCAACCCGCUGCCCUCUGGUGUCCUGCUGUGGGAGCUUUGUUCUUUCACUCUCGUAAUAAGUCUUGCUGCUGCUCACUCUUUGGGUCCGCACUGUCUCUGUGAGCUGUAACACUCACCGCGAGGUUCUGUGCCUUCGUUCUUUAAGUCAGGGAGACCACGAACCCACCGGGAGGAACAAACAACUGUGAUGCGCCAUCUUUAAGAGCUGUAACAUUCACCGCCGGGGUCUGCGGCUUCAUUCCUGGAGUGAGUGAGACCACGAACCCACCAGAAGGAAGAAACUCUGGACCCAUCUGAACAGCUGAAGGAACAAACUCCGGACACACCAUCUUUAAGAACUGUAACACUCACCGGGAGUCUCCGUGGCUUCAUUCUUGAAGACAGCGAGACCAAGAACCCACCAGAAGGAAUGAAUUCCGCACACAGUAAGAUUUCUAUUUUUAAAAAAUCUCUGGGCUGUAGAACGGGAAAAAAAAGACUUGGAAGGCAAAGCUGAUAGUAGGGAUACAACACCAGUUAAUAUUUCAGUUGUUGUAUUAUAGGUAAGGGCUAGAGUAUUGGCAUUGGAGAGACGGACUAAAUUCUCAGCUCCAACCCUUACCAGCUUGGGUAAGUUAUUUAUUCUCUUUAAAUUUCAAUUUCCUUAAUGGUAAAAUGGGGCUACAGUAAUAACCAGAGCAGAUACGCACAUUCAAGGAUCUAAUGUAUGAAAAGGGUUUUAUUAUUUUUGCAACAGUUGGCACCCUGGAAGCACCAUCAAAAUGAUCUGUUAUUAUCCAUGUGAUCUUAACUUGGGCAACAGUAGUGGAAAUGGAAAGACAGAUCGCUGGUGCUGUGGCACACACCUGUAGCUCCAGCUUUUCAGGAGGCUGAGAUGGGGAUCACUUAAGUCUAGCUUGGGCAACAUAGCAAGACUCCAUCUCUAAAAAAAGUGUAGAUGGAUUAAAAAAUGGUAGGAGGUGGAAUUAAAGGGUUGGAUGUGGAAGUGGAAAUGAAAGAAAGUGAGGUGUCAAGGGUUUCUGGCUUGGGCAGCAGCAGGUAGGUUGCAGCAUAUUUUCUUGAGAUAGGACUUUAGGAGGAGGUAAAUAUUCUGAAUGGAAGCUGUAGAACUGGAUGUGCUGCUUUUGAAGAGCCUAUGAGAUACCCAAAGUGGAAUUGUCUGGAAAGUAGUUGUACAAGAGAGGCUGAAGUUGAGGAGAGAGAUCUGGGUAGAACAUACAUAGGUAAGGUAGAGAGAAGAACUCAGACAGUGUGUACUGAGAAUAGAGAAGAGGGCGAGGCACCGCACUGGACCUGGGAGACAAAGGUGAGAAGACAAGACACCCACUCUCAGGAAACUCAGUCUGGUUGGGGAAGCAGAUAAUUAAACAGAUAAUUAGAAUACAGUGGAAUACACCCCAUAGGUUGUUUUGGACCAAACCUGUGGGGUGGAUCCCAGCAGUUGAAGGAACUGAAUGAAGAUAGAACAAGGACUCUAAAGGCAACAGCACAAAGUUAAACCAGGAAGUCCCUCUGCCUUGCUAGGGAUCCAGGUUUGCCUUCCUGUUGAGGUAUCCCAUUUCAUUACAGUUGACCUAAGUUUGAACAAACACUGCCACCUGAUGCAUGAAAGCUCUACUGUGACCUACGUUAAAAGGAGCUGACACUCCCUCAGGCUACCUUAGUCAGUGGGGGCUUACUGCAGCAUACCUGUGGCGAUGAGAGAGAGAGGCACAUCACAGGAGCAUCUGGCACCAGUGGCAUCCUGAAUUUAAGAUGAAACAAUAGAGAAAGAACCAAGAAGUUACAUACAUUCAUCAGAAUUGCUGGAGAGUCCUGACCUCUGGCCAUCGAUCAAAGGGAAGCGUUCACUACUGAAGGUUUGUCUUCACUGUACUGGGUAUUCAACUUCCUUGAAAUUAAAAGGAAGAAGGAUAAAAAGUGGUAUGCUGAAUGGAUUAAAGGUAAUAUUUUGAUUAUAUCAAUAGUUUUCAAACUUUUAUAACUCAUGAGCUGUUUGGGAAUAUUUGAGCAUAUGGUCAAUCCACAUCUGAAUUAUCCUGCCCACAAAAAUGUCAAGGAAAUACUUCUACUGCCCCUUCUG
rnacentral:lncRNA from 1 species